rnacentral:snoRNA from 1 species
AAAAUGAUACUUUCAGGGAUCAGUUCUCAAGUUUGUUACUAGAGAAGUUUCUCUGAUCGUGUGGAGCACCGAAAACCCCGAGGAAGAGGUGCAGCAUUCUCUCCUGAGCGUGAAGCCAGCCCAUGGUGCUGCUUUGCUGCAGCUGUCACUUGCCAUUGAUGAUCCUUCUUCUUCUCCUCUGCCUUUGUGCACAGUGAGAGGGAGAGAACGCAGUCUGAGGGG